CACAUUAGUUAGUUGGUGGGGUAAAGGCUUACCAAGACUAUGAUGUGUAGCCGGGCUGAGAGGUUGAACGGCCACAUUGGGACUGAGACACGGCCCAAACUCCUACGGGAGGCAGCAGUAGGGAAUUUUCGGCAAUGGAGGAAACUCUGACCGAGCAACGCCGCGUGAACGAUGAAGUAUUUCGGUACGUAAAGUUCUUUUAUUAGGGAAGAAUAAAUGAUGGAAAAAUCAUUCUGACGGUACCUAAUGAAUAAGCCCCGGCUAACUAUGUGCCAGCAGCCGCGGUAAUACAUAGGGGGCAAGCGUUAUCCGGAAUUAUUGGGCGUAAAGGGUGCGUAGGCGGUUAAAUAAGUUUAUGGUCUAAGUGCAAUGCUUAACAUUGUGAUGCUAUAAAAACUGUUUAGCUAGAGUAAGAUAGAGGCAAGUGGAAUUCCAUGUGUAGUGGUAAAAUGCGUAAAUAUAUGGAGGAACACCAGUAGCGAAGGCGGCUUGCUGGGUCUUUACUGACGCUGAGGCACGAAAGCGUGGGGAGCAAACAGGAUUAGAUACCCUGGUAGUCCACGCCGUAAACGAUGAGUACUAAAUGUUGGGUAAAACCAGUGUUGAAGUUAACACAUUAAGUACUCCGCCUGAGUAGUACGUACGCAAGUAUGAAACUUAAAGGAAUUGACGGGACUCCGCACAAGCGGUGGAUCAUGUUGUUUAAUUCGAAGGUACCCGAAAAACCUCACCAGGUCUUGACAUGCUUCUGCAAAGCUGUAGAAACACAGUGGAGGUUAUCAGUUGCACAGGUGGUGCAUGGUUGUCGUCAGCUCGUGUCGUGAGAUGUUGGGUUAAGUCCCGCAACGAGCGCAACCCUUAUUGUUAGUUGCCAGCACGUAAUGGUGGGGACUUUAGCAAGACUGCCAGUGAUAAAUUGGAGGAAGGUGGGGACGACGUCAAAUCAUCAUGCCCCUUAUGACCUGGGCUACAAACGUGAUACAAUGGCUGUUACAAAGGGUAGCUGAAACGCAAGUUUUUGGGAA
rnacentral:rRNA from 1 species